AUUAAAUAGCCGCAGUAUUUUGACUGUGCAAAGGUAGCAUGAUCAUUAGUUUCUUAAUUAGGAACUUGUAUGAAAGGUUGGAUGAGAAAUAUUCUGUCUCAAAUUUAAUUUUAUAGAAUUUUAUUUUUAAGUAAAAAAGCUUAAAUGAGUUUUAGGGACGAGAAGACCCUAUAGAGUUUUAUUUUAAAUUUAAUUUUUAAUGUUAAGGAAUUUAUGGUUUUAUAUUGAUUUAAAAUUUAAUUGGGGUGAUUAAAAAAUUAAAUUAACUUUUUUUUAAUUUAAACAUUAAUUUAUGAAUUAUUGAUCCAUUAUUUAUGAUUAAAAGAUUAAAUUACCUUAGGGAUAACAGCGUAAUUUUUUUAAAGAGUUCUUAUCGAUAAAAAAGUUUGCGACCUCGAUGUUGGAUUAAAAUUUAUUAUUGGCGUAGAUGUUAAUUAAUUAAGUCUGUUCGACUUUUAAAAUUUUACAUGAUCUGAGUUUAAACCGGUGUGAGCCAGGUUGGUUUCUAUCUUAAAUAAUAAAGUGUAUUUUAGUACGAAAGGACCAAAUACUAGUAAAAUUUACUUUUUAUUGAAUUAAA
rnacentral:rRNA from 1 species